AUUGAACGCUGGCGGCACGCCUAACACAUGCAAGUCGAGCGGCAGCGCGAUUAGUAGCAAUACUAAUUGGCGGCGAGCGGCGGACGGGUGAGUAACACGUAGGAACCUGCCCAGAAGUGGGGGAUAACUAAUGGAAACGUUAGCUAAUACCGCAUACAUUCGGGAGAAGAAAGCUGCAGCAAUGUGGCGCUUUUGGAGGGGCCUGCGUCCGAUUAGCUAGUUGGUAAGGUAAUGGCUUACCAAGGCGAUGAUCGGUAACUGGUCUGAGAGGACGACCGGUCACACUGGGACUGAGACACGGCCCAGACUCCUACGGGAGGCAGCAGUGGGGAAUCUUGGACAAUGGGGGAAACCCUGAUCCAGCGAUGCCGCGUGAGUGAAGAAGGCCCUCGGGUCGUAAAGCUCUUUAGGCUGGGAAGAAGGUUGGUUGAGGAAAUGCGAUCGACUUGACAGUACCAGCAGAAUAAGCACCGGCAAACUCUGUGCCAGCAGCCGCGGUAA
rnacentral:rRNA from 1 species